GAUCAAGCGCGAGAAGGGCGUUUGGUGGAUGCCUUGGCAGUAAGAGGCGAUGAAGGACGUGAUACUCUGCGAUAAGCCGGGGGAAGCCGAGAAUAGGCUCUGAUCCCCGGAUCUCCGAAUGGGGCAACCCACCUGACAGUUCGAUAUAAUUGCCGCAAGGCAGCUUAUAUCUUGCUGAGACAGGUACUCAUCAUCUGAAUACAUAGGAUUUUGAGAGCAAACCCGGGGAACUGAAACAUCUAAGUACCCGGAGGAAAGGACAUCAAUAGAGACUCCGCUAGUAGUGGCGAGCGAACGCGGACCAGCCGAGCCCAAGACGUGACCAGAAACAGCUGGAAAGCUGUGCCAGAGCGGGUGACAGCCCCGUAUGGGAAGCGUUGCGGGACGUAUCAAGUAGGGCGGGACACGUGAAAUCCUGUCCGAAGAUCGGAGGACCACCUCCGAAGGCUAAGUACUCCUUACUGACCGAUAGCGAACCAGUACCGUGAGGGAAAGGUGAAAAGCACCCCGACGAGGGGAGUGAAACAGUACCUGAAACCGAGCGCCUACAAGCAGUCGGAGCUUGACUGGACUCUUAUAU
rnacentral:ncRNA from 1 species